AGGGCAGCUGGGUGAAGAAACUGCUUUUCUGGGGUCUUUUUCUUCUUUCUUUCGUAUUGUGCCCUCAGAAGCAUUAGCAAGCAGCUUGUUUCUGAUGGACCUCAGGAAAACAAGCUUGGACAGUUAAGGGUGGAAGGGAAAGACUUGUGCAUGAAUGUCUUGGUGUCACAAUCAUAUUAACCUCCUCUUAGACUAAUCCUGUCCUUAACUGACUUUAUUCUGAUGAUAUUCUAGAUAGCCUGCAUCAGCCUGGGAGGACGCGGUGGGCAAUGUCUGCUGUAGCUCUUUUGGAGGAGAGUAAAACACAGCAGAGCAGCCAAAAAAAGGCAUCUGCUUGCACAGGAGCCUGCCUUUCCUAACAGCAACCAGAGGGAGAAAAGAAGUUGAAACUUCCCAGAAGAGUGAAGAAAUCUUCACCAAAACAAUUCACAGGCUAUUGUUCCAGUAACUAAGAGGAUUUCAGUUGCCUGUUUAAUACAGAAGACGAUGCCACCGGCAUGUAAGGCAGGGACGGAGCUCAGUGCCUCGCCAUCCAUCCUCUCAGUGAAGCACCUCACCUGGCUGUCUGCAAUCAGCAGCAGAGUGGAGGCUGCAGCUCCAUGAAGUGGCUCUCUGAGACGCCGCGCUAAUUGUCUUGGCAGAAAGGAAGAGUUCCCCCUAGUGCAGAGUGAUAAAUCAGAGAUGGUAAUAACUCUUUCCAAAAUAAUCCUCAGGCAGAAACAAAAUCUAGCACUGAGAGCAGUAUGGAGUCAAAACGUGCCACCUGGAUCUGAGGGUUACUAAGGUCUAUAAAUACUGCAUGCCUCUCCUGUGCCUCCAUAAUAUAUUGCUGUUAAUAAUACGUUGGCGUCUGGAUUUUAUAAUGUUCAGGCUUUGUCUUCCUGAUGCAGCCGCAAGGCAUGAUGCCAGCCCUGGGGUCAUGGGCUGAGCUGAGAGAUGAUGAGAGAUUCAGCCUUUGCAAACGAGUUUUUGCAAAAUUGGCAAAAAUGCCGACUUGCAAAUGUCAAUUUUACUCUCAUCCCCAGGGGAGCACAACUGCCCUGGUGGCACCAUGCGCUAUACCAUGCCAUGCCAUACUGUAGCAGAGAUGCUAAGUCAGGGCCUGAAGCAGUGAUGGAGCACCUGGUGGGAAGGCAGGGCCAGUUCAGGGGAGCUCAGGUGCAUGCAAUGUACCUGAGUGAUCAGAAGGGCUGGAGCUGGGAUCCACCCCUUCCCAGCCCUCAUUUAAGGGUUGGCAGUGGAGGUGAGGGGAUCUUGCUGAAGAUCCCUACCUACCUGAGGUCUUCCGAGGGGAACUGCAGACAAAACCCAGCAAACUCAAACUGUGGGCAGCAGUAUGUGGGGACUCUGCUAUGCCUCUCAGCAGGCAGAUACGGAGAAACCAGACCAUCACCAACCAGCUUUGCAUCAACCCACUGCAUUGCAUCCUUCAAGGACCUAAGCCUUAAGGAGAAGGAAUGA
rnacentral:lncRNA from 1 species